AUGUUCAUAUCGAGUUGCUUCCGUCUGCCAGUGGCCAUAUGUGAGAGGUUCCGUCAGAUUGUGGCGGAUCAGUGGUGGGGACGGGAAGAUGGCAAGAAAAAGCUUCACUGCUGCUCUUGGGAUUGGAUCUCGACGCCGAAAUCUUUGGGCUGUAUGGGCUUCCGCGACAUGGGGCUCUUCAACUAGGCGAUGUUGGCGAAACAGGGCUGGCAUUUAUUGACUGAUCCGGAGUCUUUGUGUGCCCGAGUUCUGAAAGGAAGAUACUUCCAGUUCGGCAGUUUUUGGAACGCGGAGGCGCCUCGUUCUGCUUUGGCGACCUGGCGAGCGAUUCUGCAUAGCCGUGACCUGCUGAAAACGGGUGUCCAAUGGGGCAUUGGUGACGGGAGAAGCACGCGCAUCCUCUCUGAUCACUAG
rnacentral:rRNA from 1 species